AACACACUCACUUCCACACAGAGGACACUAAGUCACUCGGAGCAGCUGGCAAAAUGAGACAGCUUUUUCCUUCUUGCUGUUAGCUUCCAGUAUGCACUAAUGAAAGUAAUUCAGCAUUGCUACUGAGAUUUUUUCCCCUCUCCUGAUGUUAUAAUCCUGUGGACCGAGUGUUGUACUGUUCCUAGUUUCCUGACAAUCACUAAUUCUGGGCACAGUGUGAGUCCUGAAGGUGGCAUUGCUAUAGACACAACAUACUAACUGCUUGAGAAAAUGUUGUUUACUUCACAUUCCUGAAAAUUAAUCCUGAAACCUUCCUGAACUACAUUAAUCAACUCCUUUAUCUUUUUCUCCAGUGGAAAAAAUGGAGACUGGCAAUGUCAUCAAAGAGCAGGUGCUCCACCCUGCCUCAUUAGCGCCUUGCCUUUCUUCUUCAGUUGCAAAAUCGUGGAGCCAAGAAUGCUAUUUAUAGCUUUUGCAAGGAUACAGUGACUUGUCCUGUCUCCCCAACUAACCAUUUGUCUGCCUCUUGCACCGUGGUGACAGCACCCUCACCACCUGCAGAAGAGGUGGCUCUGGAACAAUGUGGCAGGUCUGAAGGAGACUGAUGACAGCCAGAACACAGGGCCAAUGGGAGUAGUUAAACACACCAGAUUCUGAGACAGAGGAAGGAAUUAGGAGCAGAAGGAUGAUAAAAGGGGAAUACAGGGGCAUAGAAAGAAGGAGAAGCAGGAACUCUCAUAAAUAAGAGUUGGCUGUAUCCUGAGACAGAAAGUGUUUCUCUACAAGGCUACCUGAAGUGCAGAAUGUCAUCUCAACAGUAUGCAUAUGUUAGAAGAUAUAGGCAGGAUUUCAUUCUUUAGUGUUCUAGAUGGAAAAAGUUUUAAAGGACCUGACUCAGAGUUUGUCUUCCUCUUCCUACAAAGUUAAAGGAGAUCAUUCUCGAAUAAUAAAACUGUAAAUUCACAUUUGGAUAUAGCA
rnacentral:lncRNA from 1 species